rnacentral:rRNA from 1 species
AGAGUUUGAUCCUGGCUCAGAUUGAACGCUGGCGGCAUGCCUUACACAUGCAAGUCGAACGGCAGCACGGGAGCAAUCCUGGUGGCGAGUGGCGAACGGGUGAGUAAUAUAUCGGAACGUGCCCAGUCGUGGGGGAUAACGCAGCGAAAGCUGUGCUAAUACCGCAUACGAUCUAUGGAUGAAAGCGGGGGAUCGCAAGACCUCGCGCGAUUGGAGCGGCCGAUAUCAGAUUAGGUAGUUGGUGGGGUAAAGGCCCACCAAGCCGACGAUCUGUAGCUGGUCUGAGAGGACGACCAGCCACACUGGAACUGAGACACGGUCCAGACUCCUACGGGAGGCAGCAGUGGGGAAUUUUGGACAAUGGGCGCAAGCCUGAUCCAGCAAUGCCGCGUGCAGGAUGAAGGCCUUCGGGUU